ensembl:lncRNA
GGCUUCUACCCUGGGCAGAUUGCAAAGAGUUCAUCUGUCUCCAGAAAUUCAUCAUAGUGGAAGAACCUGAAAAAGGUUCCAUUAAAAUAAAGAACGUACGGAGUCUCCAGCCAAAUCCAGGAGCAAAUCCAAAUCACGGUCUCUUAGAGGUUUUCACUGUUCAACAUCUUCUGAUUUCAGAGAUCUGUCAGUAGAAGCUUCCUACAGAGUGCUGCACGGUGCGUAGCUUCACAGUGGACAGAGGUCACCAAUAGAGUGUGAGAUCUUGUCCUAAAAAAGGAGCUGAGUAACAAGAAGACAAAGCCCUCUAAUAAUAUUAAAUCAUUCAUGUUAGUAAAGACAGAAGCAAAAUGCACACAAUGACAAAAAGACUUAAUGACAUUAAAGGACAAAAAGAGCAAAUGAAAUUUCUUAUAGCUAGAUAUAAAAGGACACAAAGGAAACCAUUCUUAAAUAUAUACACACAGCUAUGAAAUUUGAACCAAUUAUUAGAAAAAGGUGUAUAAUAACUAAUUAUAUUAGUUAGAUCUAUGGAAUGCUUAAUAACAGUCAAAGCAAAAAGCGUGUCACAGUUAUCAGGAGAAGCACAGAGAGCAAAGCAAUAAGCAUUAAGUCAUCUGAUAUAUCUUAGUAUGACCAAAUGUUGAGUAAUGAGUCUGGUUCUUAUUGUUUCUCAAAUAAAUUCUUAUGUUAAUAUGGAUAAACUGAAUAUUUAAGAGGUACGUAGAAAACUCUCAGGAAUAGUUAAAUGUUUGAGAAUUUCAUCAUAUGAAGGGCAAACAAAUGAACUAGAACUCUUCAACAUUCAAGAAAAGAAGACUUACGAGGACUAUGAUAGAGGUUUGAAUGAUGUGGAGGUGUUGAUCAAGGAAUGGUUGUGCUCUGGUCUAAUGAACAUACCAAGGGCCAUCCAGCAAAAUGAGAAAUUGGUUCUUUCAACCAUGUGGCUUAGAUCUGAAACUUCCUGCAGGAAGAGUAUACAUGGGUUCCAAACAGGAUUGUGUAUUUCGUGAACAAAAAAUCUACUGAAAGAAAAGAUGAUAGAUACCACCCUCUCGUCUAGAAAACAACCGAACUACAAAUUACUGGAGCAAGGGAGAUUAUUCUACGAGAGCUUCAUUAUCUAUUUGACCAGUUUUUUCUCUAUGCUUGCUAUAACUCAUUGAUUAGUAUUAGAGACAAGACAAAGGACUAGGUGAAACUUUGGUCUGACUCAGUAGAGCUCUUCUUGUGUUCGUGUAAUAUCUAAAACAUGUGCAUUAUCCCAUCAUCUUCAAAGUGCAACCAGUAAGAUUAUCCUUCUGGUUGGCUACUCUGCCAAGUCACAAGACUAUCCUGCCCUAGGUAGCCUGAUACACACUUUGUGAAAUUUAAGCUUCUUUAGUAUUCCUACAGAGCCCUCACAAUUUUUUCUCUUCUGAAAUUUUCCAUCUGUUCAUAUUUUACAUUAUGUCCGACGGCCAAACUUGCAGUCCCUUGCAUCCCACAACAGAAUCUGGAUUAUUCAGUUACGUGCUGUAUUAUAUGCAAAGAAUAAUUACUUUCCUCCCUAGUUUCACCUCAUUUCAUCCCAUCUUUCUGAUUGGACAAACCUUGUCUUCAGUUUUCUCCUCUCAAAAUCUCUGCUUUUUAUUCUCAUGUCUCUCUUCAAACAAUCUGUGAGUUUGUGAAUAUAUUUUAAAAGGAUCAAAAGAAAUACAAUCAACUCUUUAAUAAAAAAAGAAAGGAUUUUAUAUUCCUAUAUUUUUUCACCACUUUGUUCUGGUUGCAUUUGUUUUUUGUUGUCAUUGCUGACACUGAUUUUUCUCUGUAUGUUGAAAUUCACUGGAAAGGAAAAAAAUCUCCAUCUAAUAAAUAUAAUAUAAAUGAAAUAUAGAUAUCUAUGUAAUAAAUUCAUAAAUUAUUUGCCUUUGAACCCUUCACCAGCUCUGUAACCUCUAACUUAUCUUCCCAGACUAAGUAAUAUUUUAAACCUUGAAAAAACUUCAGGCAGUUAUCAUUUAAAAUAAGUUAUCUUGUCUGAGAAUAUCAUCUUCAUCUCUCAACCUUAUUCCUUAAAAAUUUUCUUCUAUGUUUGCUUUGGCUUGAGGCCACAAAUAAGCCAGAUUCCAUCUGGGUCAUUAUUUUUAUCUUCUGUAUAUAAAAAUCUACAAAACUUUGCAUUCUGGAAGUCACUGAAUAAGAAAUUUGAGUUUAUCUUUGGAUAAAAUGAGAUUUUUGUCUCCCAGUGGGAUAUAAAAAGUGACUUAUAGACCUAAAAGCUACCAAAAUAUGAAAUAAUUCACACUGGAAAGUUAUUUCUGCAUUGAGAAUUCUGUACUGAAAUUAUAUGGAAAAAGU